CCUACGGGAGGCAGCAGUGAGGAAUAUUGGGCAAUGGACGCAAGUCUGAACCAGCCAUGCCGCGUGCAGGAAGAAGGCUCUAUGAGUUGUAAACUGCUGUUGUACGAGGGUAAACGCAGAUACGCGUAUCUGUCUGAGAGUAUCGUACGAAUAAGGAGCGGCUAACUCCGGGCCAGCAGCCGCGGUAAGACGUAGGAUUCAAGCGUUAUCCGGAUUUAUUGGGUUUAAAGGGUGCGUAGGCGGUCGGAUAAGUUAGAGGUGAAAUCCCGAGGCUCAACUUCGGAAUUGCAUCUGAUACUGUUAGGCUAGAGAGUAGUUGCGGUAGGCGGAAUGUAUGGUGUAGCGGUGAAAUGCUUAGAGAUCAUGCAGAACACCGAUUGCGAAGGCAGGUUACCAGGCUACUACUGACGUUGAGGCACGAAAGCGUGGGGAGCAAACAGGAUUAGAUACCCGAGUAGUC
rnacentral:rRNA from 1 species